rnacentral:rRNA from 1 species
UACGAAGGGGGCUAGCGUUGCUCGGAAUCACUGGGCGUAAAGGGCGCGUAGGCGGCGUUUUAAGUCGGGGGUGAAAGCCUGUGGCUCAACCACAGAAUGGCCUUCGAUACUGGGACGCUUGAGUAUGGUAGAGGUUGGUGGAACUGCGAGUGUAGAGGUGAAAUUCGUAGAUACUCGCAAGAACACCGGUGGCGAAGGCGGCCAACUGGACCAUUACUGACGCUGAGGCACGAAAGCGUGGGGAGCAAACAGG